GAAAGGUGCUGGCAGGAGAGCAGCGGCCCUGCCUGGGGGUCCUGCUGGUCUUACUAUGGGGCUUCCUGCCUCAGGCUCUCAGCUGCAGCCAGUCAGUAGUUUCCUUACUUGGCUUCCGCGUCUUUGCUAUAAAAGCCGCUCGCCAGCACAUAUGCGUGGGGUUUGGUGCUGCCUGAUUAGAAUCGAUUUAUACUCAAAUAAACGCUACACGUUUUUAAUAUGCCCUAGCUCGUCUUUUAACAGUUCUGGUGUCAGAAGAGGGACCCACAGGAGAGCCGGAUGGGCCUCCAGGAGCAGUGAACAACCAGGCGUAGGUACCUGUUGGAGCCCCGCGAGCCGGCUGCCUUCUCUCGACCUUUGGAGGUGCUGGUUUCUGGUGACCAGGAUAAGACCCGCUGGGGUACUCCACUCACGCUGGAGCCUUUAGACGGCAUGCCAGGAAAACUGGCAGAAACCAGCAAUAAGUGAGAAUUCCUACACAAGCCAGCUCUUCUGGACCUCUCUGUCUGUGGUGCCUGGUCGAGAGAGGAAGUGGGAAAGCUCGAACUUCUUGGAUGAGGACGUGUGUUUUCACUGAAUAAGGAACCAACUGGCAUAGCCGGCAGCUGAAGGUCCAGACGAAUCGUGGUCCCUCCUUCGAGAAUGGAUUCUACUUGAAAUAGAAUCAUGGAGCCAUAUUGAAUUUUACACAGCAGAUAACUCAGAUGCUGUGAACCUGGUGGGAAAGAAAAGACACGGGCAGCAAUUGUCACAACACAGUACGGGCAGUGCCAUCUGAAAGGUGAAGAACAAGAGGCAUGAGGGGAUCAAAGAAGAGCCAGUCAUGAUCCAAAUCCAGCCUGAAACCUCUUCCUAUUGACUGCCUUACCUGUCAGUAACUCAAUAAGCAACGGUGCCUCCUACGAAAGGAAACGCUCUGAGGAAACAAAUGGAGAGAAAUCUUCAUUCCUGAUGGGAAAAACUUUACUUUAAAAUGUCUCUUGGCUCAGGAGAAGGAAUAAAAGAGUGAUUCAGGAGGGAAGUGGACUGACUGAGAAUGACUAGACGAGGAUGUACUCAGGACUGAGAUGAGCGCUUGGCUGUGAUCAGGAGCAAGGACAGCUCAGUCUCUGACACUGCAGAAUGAAAACCAGAACCGUCCUCGAUUUCUUAGAUGACUGGGAAGCAUGAGAGAUGCAAAUACACCCAGCGCUCUUGUUAUUCCUACGUCUCCCUCCAGUAAACUGAAAACGGUACCUCCCCUCUGUGAAUCUGCCACCCUCCACAUGCUUGGCCCGGAUGCCGUACACCUGCUCAGCGUCUUCCGGAACCCACCGGAGCAUAUGAGAUUUAUCACGGGACUACAAAGUGCCAGCCCUCAUCACACCGGUGAACAGAACAGACAAAAGAUCUGCCCCGUGGUGCUCACCUGACUUUUGGAAAUCCCAGCGCUGGUGACCUGAGAGAGGCCUCUGACACACAGCUGCCCCAGUGGUUUGUUUCCCUCAUCUUCUGCCCAACAUAAUCCUGGGGCCCAGAUCUCUCAAAAAUCCACCACGUGGCUUUAGUCCAAGGACAGGCACUUGGCAUUUAAGCCAGGCCAGUGUUUGGUGUUCAGAAGUUGGACAGGAACCAUGUGCUGAGUGCCAGUGAUGGUGUUUGGGAACGAGUAUCUGGGUUUAAUUUCCACUGUCUGUCAGAGGGAAGCUUUGAUCAGACCCUGCAUUUUUUCACUUCUCCUAAGUGACUAGAGGCUACUACCGGCCAUUACCCACUGCCCCCGUGUGAGCUCGGGGCUGGCCAUGACAUCAGAGAUUGAUUUACAUGAACUUCCCCCCGGCCGCCCUGCGUACGCUUCUCUCUCCCCGCUCCAGUGGUGGUACGGCUACUGCCAGGGGCUCAGUGUGGGACUGAAUGUGUGUCCCGGAAGGUACGGGGUGGGAAAUGGGGCGGGGGCCCCACACUACUGCAGAAGGAAGCGCAGACCAGGAGUAAGUGACUGCAGCUGGCUCCUAAUGGCUUUUCUUCUCUGCCGUCAUUUUCCUUUAAGCCCAAAAGAAACUCUUUGUAAUACGUGUUAAAAUUAUGGUUCAGAUUUCUGAUGAUCAAGUUACAUAGAUUAAAGUAAUGGAGACCAGACUCCGCAUCAAUUCAGGUAUAAAUAUGGAUGAAAUGAAUGUACAUUAUCCACUGUUAUAAAUCUGUGUGUUCAAGGAAAGACAUAAAUCUCCCAAACCUUUCCUACCUCGGGGUAUGAAGGGUUUUUUUUCUUUUUCCCAGUGUUUUCGAUGAAAUUAUGAUUUGGAGUAAUUUGCUGGUUUUGCAGAAACCUCUGGCUUUUUUUUUUUACAAGAAAGGGUAGAGUGUAUUAUUUAUAAUGGCAAGUCAUUAAAAUGCUCCAUCCAGGAAGUCAUCACUGCAGAGGGGGUUGGAGAGGGAAGGGGUAAUACGGCAUUCCAGAUGUGCAUGUGUGGAGAAGGGCCAUGCGUUUGGAGAAAUUUAUAGCACCUGGCUCCGCUGUAAAGGGUUCUUGCCCUGGGGGCAUUUCUGUUUUUCCCCCCUCCCCAUGGCCCUAUCAACACUGUACCGGGAGGGACUCAAAGGCGUCCGUGCGUGAUGGACACAUGGCCACAGGAUGUUGUGGUCUGGACGGGAAGACAGCGUUCUCGCUCCUGCUAAGCCACAGGGCUGAUGAAAGUGUCUGAGCUCCUUGUAGUCUGGGGCCCUCACAGGAGCAAGAAGCCUCCUGGUAGGAGGGAAGGAACAGAGCCCAGCGCUCCAUGGAAGCAUGUACCCCAGCGGGCAGCUGAAUAGCUGCACGUUUGGUCACCCCAGUUUCCCCUUCUCAGGUUUGCAGUCUAUAAAAUAAAGAUGAUGACAUGCACUAUAAGGCUGGGGUGAGGACCCAGUGAGACUGUGUGUGCAGACACACCGAGCGACCCUCCUACUCUUCCUGCUGAAACUCCCAACUUGUGGCUUAAUUGACUCGCAACCACCACUGUCCCAAAUGGAACCGCCUCACAGACCCUUAGUCAUCCAAGGCCCCUGCUGACCCCACAUAGAGGGUCCACUGCUUCUAAAGUCCUGCCUAGUCAAUGAAGAGCUUGACAAGGAGGCCCAGCUUCUGCCUGUGGUAUCGGCCCAGUCUCCUUCCUGUGCGCCAUCCCAAUCAGCUGAAUGCCACUUCGUCCUCAUUCCAGCCAGCCAGAGGGCACGCUGGGAGAAAUGGGGCACGCCCCUUCCCUGCAGGGCCAACCUGGAAGUGACCAACCUCCCCUCCUGCACAUUCUGCUCAUCAGAACUUAGGCAAGUGGUCCUACCUAACCCUGAAUAGGGUGGGGAAAAGCAUCCUUUACCUGGGUAGCCACGGACCUAGCUCAGUUCCCUUACCACGGAGGAGAGGCAUAGGGACACUGGGGGAUAAUCAGCCGUCCCUUCUAGGGGUGGGGGGUCACAGGGAGUUGUGCCAGAACGCAAAUGGAACCCACAUGCUUGAAGGGAGAUUUAGGUUCUGCAGGGGUGGAGGAAGGAAGACUAUAACCCGUGGAUUGUGAAAUGUCUUUAUGCCUAGUAAUCAGAUUAACCAGGAUGCAGCUAUGUGGCACACUUUGUUAAUGUGCACAUUCCAGAGGCCAAGGUCACUGGGCCUGUCCUACCACAAGUCAAGUCAAGUUUAGUCAAGUUUACGUUCCUCUGCAGCCACAAUAAGUCAUCCUGUGCCUCCCCACUGCCCAAAGUGUUUCACCUCUCGCACACUUCCCACGGCCUGCUGUACAGCUAUUGAUUCCCAACUGCUGAAUGAAUGAGUAAAUGAAUGAACGAAUAGAUGAGUUAGAGUGAAGUAAAGGACAAGUACAAACUGGGCAAAGAGAUGGUAGAG